GAUGAACGCUGACAGAAUGCUUAACACAUGCAAGUCUACUUGAAUUUGGGUUUUUUAACUUCGAUUUGGGUGGCGGACGGGUGAGUAACGCGUAAAGAACUUGCCUCACAGCUAGGGACAACACUUGGAAACGAAUGCUAAUACCUGAUAUUAUGAUUAUAGGGCAUCCUAGAAUUAUGAAAGCUAUAUGCGCUGUGAGAGAGCUUUGCGUCCCAUUAGCUAGUUGGAGAGGUAACAGCUCACCAAGGCGAUGAUGGGUAGCCGGCCUGAGAGGGUGAACGGCCACAAGGGGACUGAGACACGGCCCUUACUCCUACGGGAGGCAGCAGUGGGGAAUAUUGGACAAUGGACCGAGAGUCUGAUCCAGCAAUUCUGUGUGCACGAUGACGUUUUUCGGAAUGUAAAGUGCUUUCAGUUGGGAAGAAAAAAAUGACGGUACCAACAGAAGAAGUGACGGCUAAAUACGUGCCAGCAGCCGCGGUAAUACGUAUGUCACGAGCGUUAUCCGGAUUUAUUGGGCGUAAAGCGCGUCUAGGUGGUUAUGUAAGUCUGAUGUGAAAAUGCAGGGCUCAACUCUGUAUUGCGUUGGAAACUGUGUAACUAGAGUACUGGAGAGGUAAGCGGAACUACAAGUGUAGAGGUGAAAUUCGUAGAUAUUUGUAGGAAUGCCGAUGGGGAAGCCAGCUUACUGGACAGAUACUGACGCUGAAGCGCGAAAGCGUG
rnacentral:rRNA from 1 species